rnacentral:tRNA from 1 species
GCCCAACUGGCGGAAUUGGCAGACGCACCGGAUUUAGGUUCCGGCCACGAAAGUGACUGAAGGUUCGAGUCCCUCGUUGGGCACCA